rnacentral:rRNA from 1 species
CUUGUUUCCUUGGUGGGUUCGCCCACCACUAGGACAAACAUAAACCUUUUGUAAUUGCAAUCAGCGUCAGUAACAAAUUAAUAAUUACAACUUUCAACAACGGAUCUCUUGGUUCUGGCAUCGAUGAAGAACGCAGCGAAAUGCGAUAAGUAGUGUGAAUUGCAGAAUUCAGUGAAUCAUCGAAUCUUUGAACGCACAUUGCGCCCUUUGGUAUUCCAAAGGGCAUGCCUGUUCGAGCGUCAUUUGUACCCUCAAGCUUUGCUUGGUGUUGGGCGUCUUGUCUCUAGCUUUGCUGGAGACUCGCCUUAAAGUAAUUGGCAGCCGGCCUACUGGUUUCGGAGCGCAGCACAAGUCGCACUCUCUAUCAGCAAAGGUCUAGCAUCCAUUAAGCCUUUUUUUUCAACUUUUGACCUCGGAUCAGGUAGGGAUACCCGCUGAACUUAAGCAUAUCAAUAAGCGGAGGA